rnacentral:rRNA from 1 species
GUUUGAUCCUGGCUCAGAACGAACGCUGGCGGCAUGCCUAACACAUGCAAGUCGAACGAAGCCUUCGGGCUUAGUGGCGCACGGGUGCGUAACACGUGGGAAUCUGCCCUUUGGUUCGGAAUAACAGUUAGAAAUGACUGCUAAUACCGGAUAAUGACGUAAGUCCAAAGAUUUAUCGCCGAAGGAUGAGCCCGCGUAGGAUUAGGUAGUUGGUGGGGUAAUGGCCCACCAAGCCGACGAUCCUUAGCUGGUCUGAGAGGAUGAUCAGCCACACUGGGACUGAGACACGGCCCAGACUCCUACGGGAGGCAGCAGUGGGGAAUAUUGGACAAUGGGCGAAAGCCUGAUCCAGCAAUGCCGCGUGAGUGAUGAAGGCCUUAGGGUUGUAAAGCUCUUUUACCAGGGAUGAUAAUGACAGUACCUGGAGAAUAAGCUCCGGCUAACUCCAUG